GGGGAGGUCCUGAGCUGGGAUUUUGACAAGCCCGUUACGUAAGCCGGAGGUGGCCUUCCGGAAUCCCACCUGCUCGAGAUUUUAAACAGGCGGCAGCGGGAGCCUGCGUGGCUCCCCGAGGCCCGAUUUUCCUCCCAGGCAGGGGUCGGCUUGGCCAACCCCGGCCAGCGUGGGGCCGGGUUACGGUUCAAGUUGUAUUUCUCAAACUCUGAGGCUUGUAGAAUUCAGAAAUUAAGACCUGGCAUCAUUUUCAGGGAAAGACCUUCAGUAAUGUCUCUUAAAAGAAUUUGGCAUAUAUUCACCACAUAAUGAUUACGAAUAACAAGUGAUACAAUAUAGCUUUAUUGAAAGAUGUCUUAAGAUACACCCUGGGUCGGGACACCUGGGUGGCUCAGCGGUUGGGUGUCUGUCUGCAUUUGGCUCAGGUGUGAUCCCCGGAUCUGGGAUCAAGUCCCAUAUGGGGCUCCCUGCGUGGAGCCUGCUUCUCCCUCUGCCUGUGUCUCUGCUUCCUUCUCU
rnacentral:lncRNA from 1 species